rnacentral:misc_RNA from 1 species
GAUGAAGAACGCAGCAAAAUGCGAUACUUGGUGUGAAUUGCAGAAUCCCGUGAACCAUCGAGUUUUUGAACGCAAGUUGCGCCCGAAGCCUUUUGGCCGAGGGCACGUCUGCCUGGGCGUCACGCAUCGCGUCGCCCCCCACAAAUUCUCCGUCAGGGGAGCUUGUGUUUCGGGGGCGGAUACUGGUCUCCCGUGCUCAUGGCGCGGUUGGCCGAAAUAGGAGUCCCUUCGAUGGACGCACGAACUAAUGGUGGUCGUAAAAACCCUCGUCUUUGUUUCGUGCCGUUAGUCGCGAGGGAAGCUCUUCAAAAACCCCAACGCGUCGUCUCUUGACGGCGCUUCGACCGCGACCCCAGGUCAGGCGGGACUACCCGCUGAGUUUAAGCAUAUCAAUAAGCGGAGGA